AGAGUUUGAUCCUGGCUCAGAAUGAACGCUGGCGGCAUGGCUAAGACAUGCAAGUCGAACGGACAUAUUGAUUGGGUAACCGAGAUAUAUGUUAGUGGCGAAAGGGUGAGGAAUAAAUAGGUAACGUAUCUUUGGCUUCAGAAUAGCGUCUAUCCCGACUUGUCGGGGUUUCCGAAAGGGGCAUUAAUACUGAAUAAUAUCACUUCCUUAACUGGUUGUGAUCAAAGAUUUAUCGGCUUUUGAGCGGCCUAUUUCCUAUCAGCUAGUUGGUGAGGUAAUGGCUCACCAAGGCGACGACGGGUAGCGGGACUGAGAGGUUGGCCCGCCACAUCGGGACUGAGACACUGCCCGGACCUCCACGGAGGGCUGCAGUAACGAAUAUUGGGCAAUGGGCGAAAGCCUGACCCAGCAAUGCCGCGUGCAGGAUGAAGCCUUUCGGGGUGUAAACUGCUUUCAGGGAUUAGAAAGCUACGGUUGAUCAAUCCCAGAAGAAGUCACGGCUAACUUCGUGCCAGCAGCCGCGGUAAUACGAAGGUGGCAAGCGUUAUUCGAAAUCACUGGGCUUAAAGGGCGCGUAGGCGGACAUGACAGUACUUUGUGAAAUCCCUCGGCUUAACCGAGGAAUUGCGAAGUAUACUACAUGUCUUGAGGCAAGUAGGGGUGUGUGGAACUCUUGGUGGAGCGGUGGAAUGCGUAGAUAUCAAGAGGAACGCCGAAGGUGAAGACAGCACACUAGGCUUGUACUGACGCUGAGGCGCGAAAGCGUGGGGAGCAAACAGGAUUAGAUACCCUGGUAGUCCACGCCGUAAACGAUGUCUACUAGGUUGCGGGGGUUCUGACACCGUCGCAGUCGUAGCAAAAGUAUUAGUAGACCGCCUGGGGAGUACGGUCGCAAGGCUAAAACUCAAAGGAAUUGACGGGGGCUCACACAAGCGGUGGAGCAUGUGGAUUAAUUCGAAUCAACGCGCAGAACCUUACCUGGGUUUGACAUGUUUGGAUGCUUGCCGGGAAACCGGUUAAGCUGCCUUAGGGUGAAACUUACACAGGUGCUGCAUGGCUGUCGUCAGCUCGUGUCGUGAGAUGUCGGGUUAAGUCCUUUAAUGAGCGAAACCCUUACCGUUAGUUGCCAGCGCGUCAUGGCGGGGACUCUAGCGGGACUGCCGGUGUCAAACCGGAGGAAGGCGGGGAUGACGUCAAGUCCUCAUGGCCUUUAUGCCCAGGGCUUCACACGUGCUACAAUGGCAGGUACAGAGCGACGCGAUACCGCGAGGUGGAGCAAAUCGCAAAAAACCUGCCCCAGUUCAGAUUGCAGGCUGUCAACUCGCCUGCAUGAAGGUGGAAUCGCUAGUAAUCGUGUAUCAGCGAUGACGCGGUGAAUGUGUUCCUGAGCCUUGUACACACCGCCCGUCAAGUGAUGGGAGUUGGGAGUACCCGAAGUCGGAUUGCUAACUUGUAAAAGAGGCGUCUGCCGACGGUAAGCUCGAUGACUGGCACUAAGUCGGAACAAGGUA
rnacentral:rRNA from 1 species